rnacentral:rRNA from 1 species
ACAGCAGUAGCCGCGGUAAUACGUAGGGGGCAAGCGUUAUCCGGAAUUACUGGGUGUAAAGGGAGCGUAGACGGUUGAACAAGUCUGAAGUGAAAUGCCGGGGCUCAACCCCGGAGCUGCUUUGGGAACUGUAGAACUGGAGUGUCGGAGGGGUAAGCGGAAUUCCCAGUGUAGCGGUGAAAUGCGUAGAUAUUGGGAGGAACACCGGCGGCGAAGGCGGCUUACUGGACGACAACUGACGUUGAGGCUCGAAGGCGUGGGUAGCAAACUGGAUUAGAGACCCCGGUAGUCCCUGUCUCUUAUAC